rnacentral:rRNA from 1 species
ACGAACGCUGGCGGCGUGCUUAACACAUGCAAGUCGAACGAGGGUAGCAAUACCCUAGUGGCGGACGGGUGAGUAACGCGUAGGUAACCUGCCUCAUUGUGGGGGACACCCAGCCGAAAGGUUGGCUAAUACCGCAUAAGCUGGUCAGUUGGAAUACUGAUCAGGAAAGAUUUAUCGCGAUGAGAGGGGCCUGCGUUCGAUUAGCUAGUUGGUGAGGUAAAGGCUCACCAAGGCGACGAUCGAUAGCUGGUCUGAGAGGACGAUCAGCCACACUGGAACUGAGACACGGUCCAGACUCCUACGGGAGGCAGCAGUGGGGAAUUUUCCGCAAUGGGCGAAAGCCUGACGGAGCAACGCCGCGUGGAUGAUGAAGUCUUUCGGGAUGUAAAAUCCUUUCAGCAGGGACGAAGCGAGUGACGGUACCUGCAGAAGAAGCAUCGGCUAACUACGU